CCGGUGAGCUACGGCUCGCCGGGGUUGAGGACUGCAUUUAGUCUCAAUGGUCUAUCCGAACUACCUGGAAAGGUAGGCAAUACAGUGUAAAAGCCACGUAGGUUAAAGACCGGAGAGAUGAGCAGUAUCCAGAGUACCACGAGGCACGAGGAAUCUUGUGGGAAGCCGGGGGGACCACCCUCCAACCCUAAACACUGAAUGGCGACCGAUAGCGCAUAGUACCGUGAGGGAAAGGUGAAAAGAACCCCGGGAGGGGAGUGAAAGAGAACCUGAAACCGUAUGUCUACAAGCAGUCGGAGCGAAAGCGACGGCGUGCCUAUUGAAGAAUGAACCAACGAGUUACGUGCACUAGCGAGGUUAAGUGGAAGACACGGAGCCGAAGCGAAAGCGAGUCUUAAGAGGGCGGAUAGUUAGUGUACGUAGACCCGAAACCGCAGUGAUCUACCCAUGUCCAGGUUGAAGCGCAGGUAAAAUUGCGUGGAGGACCGAACCUGUGAGCGUUGAAAAGCUUUAGGAUGAGAUGUGGGUAGAGGUGAAAUUCCAAUCGAACGCGGAGAUAGCUGGUUCUCCCCGAAAUAGCUUUAGGGCUAGCCUCAAGUAGUAAGUAUAGGCGGUAGAGCACUGAUCGGGCUAGGGGCCAUAAAGGUUACCGAACCCUGUCAAACUCCGAAUGGUUAUACUGUAGAGCUUGGGAGUCAGACUACGAGUGAUAAGAUCCGUGGUCAAAAGGGAAACAGCCCAGACCACCAGCUAAGGUCCCCAAUGUCGUACUAAGUGGAAAAGGAUGUGGGGUCUCUAAAACAACCAGGAUGUUGGCUUAGAAGCAGCCACCAUUUAAAGAGUGCGUAAUAGCUCACUGGUCGAGAGACCCUGCGCCGAAGAUUACCGGGGCUAAAGUACGAAACCGAAGCUGUGGCUACGACAUAUGUCGUGGGGUAGGGGAGCGUUCUGUGAGGGCUGAAGUCGUUCUGUAAGGAACGGUGGACUUCACAGAAGUGAGAAUGUUGGUAUGAGUAGCGAAAAGAAUGGUGAGAAUCCAUUCCACCGAAAGCAUAAGGAUUCCUGGGCAACGAUCGUCGUCCCAGGGUAAGUCGGGACCUAAUCCGAGGCAUGGAGCGUAGGAGAUGGACAACUGGCAGAUAUUCCAGUACCGGUAAUGAUUGUUUGAGCGAUGGAGUGACACAGGAGGGCAGGCAGGCAGGAGAUUGGUUGUUCCUGUACAAGCGUGUAGGAUGGGACGCAGGCAAAUCCGCGUCCUGUGAGUCUGAGGCGUGAUGUGGAGGUUCCGGAAACGGAACUGAAGCUGCUGACCCCACACUGUCGAGAAAAGCUUCUAGUUAGAGAAUUACCGCCCGUACCGUAAACCGACACAGGUAUGCGGGGAGAGAAUCCUAAGGUGCGCGGGAGAACCCUCGUUAAGGAACUCGGCAAAAUGUACCCGUAACUUCGGGAUAAGGGUAGCCGCUGUUGUGAAGUCUGAACAGACGGAGCAUGAGGCGGUCGCAGAGAAGAGGCCCAAGCGACUGUUUACCACAAACACAGGUGCCUGCUAAAGAGAAAUCUGACGUAUAGGUGCUGACACCUGCCCAGUGCCGGAAGGUUAAGGAAGGAUGUCCGGAGCAAUCCAAAGCAUUCGACCGAAGCCCCGGUGAACGGCGGCCGUAACUAUAACGGUCCUAAGGUAGCGAAAUUCCUUGUCGGGUAAGUUCCGACCCGCACGAAAGGUGUAACGAUUUGGGCACUGUCUCAACGAGGGACCCGGUGAAAUUGAAGUACCUGUGAAGAUGCAGGUUACCCGCGACUGGACAGAAAGACCCCAUGGAGCUUUACUGUAACCUGACAUUGGGUUCUGAUACAUCACGUACAGGAUAGGUGGGAGGCAUGGAAGCGAGGACGCUAGUCUUCGUGGAGCCGCCGUUGGGAUACCACCCUUGAUGUAUCGGAAUUCUAACCGUAGGAGUAACGAAACUCGGGACAGUGUCAGGCGGGCAGUUUGACUGGGGCGGUCGCCUCCCAAAGAGUAACGGAGGCGCCCAAAGGUUCCCUCAGCGCGGCCGGAAAUCGCGCGAAGAGUGUAAAGGCAGAAGGGAGCUUGACUGAGAGCCAAACACGGCAAUCAGGUACGAAAGUAGGGCUUAGUGAUCCGGUGGCAUCCAAGUGGAAGGGCCAUCGCUCAACGGAUAAAAGCUACCCUGG
rnacentral:rRNA from 1 species